rnacentral:sRNA from 1 species
AUUGCCCUAGUAACGGCGAGUGAAGCGGCAACAGCUCAAAUUUGAAAUCUGGCUCUCUUUGGGGGUCCGAGUUGUAAUUUGCAGAGGAUGCUUUGGCAUUGGCAGCGGUCUAAGUUCCUUGGAACAGGACAUCACAGAGGGUGAGAAUCCCGUACGUGGUCGCUUGCCUUUGCCGUGUAAAGCUCCUUCGACGAGUCGAGUUGUUUGGGAAUGCAGCUCUAAAUGGGAGGUAAAUUUCUUCUAAAGCUAAAUACUGGCCAGAGACCGAUAGCGCACAAGUAGAGUGAUCGAAAGAUGAAAAGUACUUUGGAAAGAGAGUCAAAAAGCACGUGAAAUUGUUGAAAGGGAAGCGCUUGCAGCCAGACUUGCCCGCAGUUGCUCACCUAGGCUUUCGCCUGGGGCACUCUUCUGCGGGCAGGCCAGCAUCAGUUUGGGCGGUUGGAUAAAGGCCUCUGUCACGUAUCUUCCUUCGGGAUGACCUUAUAGGGGAGGCGUAAUGCAACCAGCCCGGACUGAGGUCCGCGCAUCUGCUAGGAUGCUGGCGUAAUGGCUGUAAGCGGCCCGUCUUGAAACACGGACCAAGGAGUCUAACAUCUAUGCGAGUGUUUGGGUGUCAAGCCCGAGCGCGUAAUGAAAGUGAACGGAGGUGGGAACCUUUUAGGUGCACCAUCGACCGAUCCUGAUGUCUUCGGAUGGAUUUGAGUAAGAGCAUAGCUGUUGGGACCCGAAAGAUGGUGAACUAUGCUUGAAUAGGGUGAAGCCAGAGGAAACUCUGGUGGAGGCUCGCAGCGGUUCUGAACGUGCAAAUCGAUCGUCAAAAUU